rnacentral:rRNA from 1 species
GGGUAUUCUUCCGCAAUGGACGAAAGUCUGACGGAGCAACGCCGCGUGAGUGAUGAAGGCUUUCGGGUCGUAAAACUCUGUUGUUAGGGAAGAACAAGUGCUAGUUGAAUAAGCUGGCACCUUGACGGUACCUAACCAGAAAGCCACGGCUAACUACGUGCCAGCAGCCGCGGUAAUACGUAGGUGGCAAGCGUUAUCCGGAAUUAUUGGGCGUAAAGCGCGCGCAGGUGGUUUCUUAAGUCUGAUGUGAAAGCCCACGGCUCAACCGUGGAGGGUCAUUGGAAACUGGGAGACUUGAGUGCAGAAGAGGAAAGUGGAAUUCCAUGUGUAGCGGUGAAAUGCGUAGAGAUAUGGAGGAACACCAGUGGCGAAGGCGACUUUCUGGUCUGUAACUGACACUGAGGCGCGAAAGCGUGGGGAGCAAACAGGAUUAGAUACCCUGGGUAGUC